UUAAUAAUUUAAUUAAUAUUUAUUAUGGUUUUAAAAUAAUUAUAAUAGUUGAUUAAGAUUUAUUUAAGAUUUUUUUGGAAUUAUUUAGGAUUUUGUUAGGAUUUAGGAUUUGGUCUAGGAUUUAAUUAAGAUUUUAUUAGGAUUUGAUUAGGUUUGGUGUAGAAUUUAGGAUUUGAUUAGAAUUUGAUUAAAGUUUAAUUAGAAUUUAUUUAGAAUUAUAUUAAAUUUUAAUUAGGAUUUAUUUAU
rnacentral:lncRNA from 1 species